rnacentral:rRNA from 1 species
UGGACGAAAGUCUGACCGAGCAACGCCGCGUGAGUGAAGAAGGUUUUCGGAUCGUAAAGCUCUGUUGUAAGUCAAGAACGUGUGUGAGGGUGGAAAGUUCACACAGUGACGGUAGCUUACCAGAAAGGGACGGCUAACUACGUGCCAGCAGCCGCGGUAAUACGUAGGUCCCGAGCGUUGUCCGGAUUUAUUGGGCGUAAAGGGAGCGCAGGCGGUCAGGAAAGUCUGGAGUAAAAGGCUAUGGCUCAACCAUAGUGUGCUCUGGAAACUGUCUGACUUGAGUGCAGAAGGGGAGAGUGGAAUUCCAUGUGUAGCGGUGAAAUGCGUAGGAUAUAUGGAGGAACACCAGUGGCGAAAGCGGCUCUCUGGUCUGUCACUGACGCUGAGGCUCGAAAGCGUGGGUAGCGAACAGGAUUAGAUACCCUGGUAGUCCACGCCGUAAACGAUGAGUGCUAGGUGUUAGGCCCUUUCCGGGGCUUAGUGCCGGAGCUAACGCAAUAAGCACUCCGCCUGGGGAGUACGACCGCAAGGUUGAAACUCAAAGGAAUUGACGGGGGCCCGCACAAGCGGUGGAGCAUGUGGUUUAAUUCGAAGCAACGCGAAGAACCUUACCAGG